rnacentral:tRNA from 1 species
GAAAUAUAUCAAAAAGAACUUCUAAUUCUUUAUCAGUGAUUUUAAAUCAUUAAUAUUUCU